AGCAGCCGCGGUAAUUCCAGCUCCAAUAGCGUAUAUUAAAGUUGUUGCAGUUAAAAAGCUCGUAGUUGAAUUUCGGGAUUCUUCCGUUGGUCAGGCUAACAAGUCUGUACUAGCGUGUAGAAUCUCUACCUUCUGGGGAACCAUCAUGUUAUUUAUUUAGCGUGGUGGGAAACCAGGACCUUUACCUUGAAAAAUUAGAGUGUUCAAAGCAGGCUUACGUCUGAAUACAUUAGCAUGGAAUAAUAAAAUAGGACGGUGGUCCUGUUUUGUUGGUUUCUGAAUCACCGUAAUGAUUAAUAGGGAUAGUUGGGGGCAUUAGUAUUCAAUUGUCAGAGGUGAAAUUCUUGGAUUUAUUGAAGACUAACUUCUGCGAAAGCAUUUGCCAAGGAUGUUUUCAUUAAUCAAGAACGAAAGUUAGGGGAUCGAAGACGAUCAGAUACCGUCGUAGUC
rnacentral:rRNA from 1 species